rnacentral:rRNA from 1 species
CACUGUCACUCCUACGGGGAGGCAGCAGUGGGGGGAAUAGUUGCACAAUGGGCGCAAGCCUGAUGCAGCCAUGCCGCGUGUGUGAAGAAGGCCUUCGGGUUGUAAAGCACUUUCAGUUGUGAGGAAGGUGGUGUUGUGAAUAGCAGCAUCAUUUGACGUUAGCAACAGAAGAAGCACCGGCUAACUCCGUGCCAGCAGCCGCGGUAAUACGGAGGGUGCGAGCGUUAAUCGGAAUUACUGGGCGUAAAGCGCAUGCAGGUGGUUUGUUAAGUUCAGAUGUGAAAGACCCCGGGCCGUCAACCUCGGGAAGUUGCAUUUGUAAACUAGGCAAACUAGAGUACUGUAGAGGGGGGUAGGAAUUUCUAGGUGUAGCGGUGAAAUAGCGUAGAGAUCUGAAGGAAUACCGGUGGCGAAGGCGGCCCCCUCGGACAGAUACUGACACUCAGAUGCGAAAGCGUGGGGAGCAAACAGGAUUAGAUACCCUGGUAG